UCGGACGGUAGCACAGAGGAGCUUGCUCCUCGGGUGACGAGUGGCGGACGGGUGAGUAAUGUCUGGGAAACUGCCCGAUGGAGGGGGAUAACUACUGGAAACGGUAGCUAAUACCGCAUAACGUCGCAAGACCAAAGUGGGGGACCUUCGGGCCUCACACCAUCGGAUGUGCCCAGAUGGGAUUAGCUUGUAGGCGGGGUAACGGCCCACCUAGGCGACGAUCCCUAGCUGGUCUGAGAGGAUGACCAGCCACACUGGAACUGAGACACGGUCCAGACUCCUACGGGAGGCAGCAGUGGGGAAUAUUGCACAAUGGGCGCAAGCCUGAUGCAGCCAUGCCGCGUGUAUGANGAAGGCCUUCGGGUUGUAAAGUACUUUCAGCGGGGAGGAAGGUGUUGAGGUUAAUAACCUCAGCNAUUGACGUUACCCGCAGAAGAAGCACCGGCUAACUCCGUGCCAGCAGCCGCGGUAAUACGGAGGGUGCAAGCGUUAAUCGGAAUUACUGGGCGUANAGCGCACGCAGGCGGUCUGUUAAGUCAGAUGUGAAAUCCCCGGGCUUAACCUGGGAACUGCAUUUGAAACUGGCAGGCUUGAGUCUCGUAGAGGGGGGUAGAAU
rnacentral:rRNA from 1 species